GUGGUCAUCAAUAGGUUGCCAGGUAACUCUUCCCUUAUCUUAUUUCGAAACAUUGGGGACAAUGUUCGAUUUAAGUGUGGGAGGAGCAUUUCUCGUUUUCCAUUUAUUUUAAGUUUUAUUUGUUGUUUUUAGAUUAUUUAUUUCCUUUUAGUUGUUUAAUUCCCCUCUUAGUUGUUUAAUUUCCUUUUUAGUAUAAUGCAUGAGUUUGACGAGUCACCGAAUACAGUAAAUCUUUAGUACAAUCUAGUCUCCCCAUACCUUUA
rnacentral:lncRNA from 1 species